rnacentral:rRNA from 1 species
CCUACGGGGGGCAGCAGUGGGGGAUAUUGCACAAUGGGGGAAACCCUGAUGCAGCAACGCCGCGUGUGGGAAGAAGGUUUUCGGAUUGUAAACCACUGUUCUUGGUGAAGAUAAUGACGGUAACCAAGGAGAAAGCUCCGGCUAACUACGUGCCAGCAGCCGCGGUAAUACGUAGGGAGCAAGCGUUGUCCGGAUUUACUGGGUGUAAAGGGUGCGUAGGCGGUCUUGCAAGUCAGACGUGAAAACCACAGGCUCAACCUGUGGACUGCGUUUGAAACUGUGGGGCUUGAGUGAAGUAGAGGUAG